rnacentral:misc_RNA from 1 species
AAGCUACUGGGGGAGCCUAGGCUCCCCCCCAAGUAGGUGCGUGCUUUGUUUUUAUUGUUAUGGCGAGCUUGUUGUUUUUGUUGAGUUGCUCGUUCCAUCAAGUCAGGGACUUCUGGAAAACCUCCCAAGCUGGGAGUCAAUAGCAAACGGAUUGCUUUGGAUGCUGACGCUGCCAUGAUCAUUUCGUGAUCCAACCAGUACGGGUUCUGCCUCGGGGCAGUU